rnacentral:rRNA from 1 species
UACGGGGGGGGCAAGCGUUGUUCGGAAUUACUGGGCGUAAAGGGCCAGUAGGCGGCCGGCUAAGUCCGACGUGAAAUCCCCAGGCUUAACCUGGGAACUGCGUCGGAUACUGGCUGGCUUGAAUUCGGGAGAGGGAUGCAGAAUUCCAGGUGUAGCGGUGAAAUGCGUAGAUAUCAGGAGGAACACCCGUGGCGAAAGCGGCUCUCUGGGACGGUACUGACGCUGAGACGCGAAAGCGUGGGGAGCAAACAGG